GGCUCAGAUUGAACGCUGGCGGCAUGCCUUACACAUGCAAGUCGAACGGCAGCGGACCUUCGGGUGCCGGCGAGUGGCGAACGGGUGAGUAAUAUAUCGGAACGUACCUUCAGUGGGGAUAACGUAGCGAAAGUUACGCUAAUACCGCAUAUUCUGUGAGCAGGAAAGCAGGGGAUCGCAAGACCUUGCGCUGAUUGAGCGGCCGAUAUCAGAUUAGCUAGUUGGUGAGGUAAAGGCUCACCAAGGCGACGAUCUGUAGCGGGUCUGAGAGGAUGAUCCGCCACACUGGAACUGAGACACGGUCCAGACUCCUACGGGAGGCAGCAGUGGGGAAUUUUGGACAAUGGGCGCAAGCCUGAUCCAGCCAUGCCGCGUGAGUGAAGAAGGCCUUCGGGUUGUAAAGCUCUUUCGGCCGGGAAGAAAUCGCACAGGUUAAUACCCUGUGUGGAUGACGGUACCGGAAUAAGAAGCACCGGCUAACUACGUG
rnacentral:rRNA from 1 species